rnacentral:rRNA from 1 species
GACGAACGCUGGCGGCGUGCUUAUCACAUGCAAGUCGAACGGAAAGGCCCUGCUUUUGUGGGGUGCUCGAGUGGCGAACGGGUGAGUAACACGUGAGUAACCUGCCCUUGACUUUGGGAUAACUUCAGGAAACUGGGGCUAAUACCGGAUAGGAGCUCCUGCUGCAUGGUGGGGGUUGGAAAGUUUCGGCGGUUGGGGAUGGACUCGCGGCUUAUCAGCUUGUUGGUGGGGUAGUGGCUUACCAAGGCUUUGACGGGUAGCCGGCCUGAGAGGGUGACCGGCCACAUUGGGACUGAGAUACGGCCCAGACUCCUACGGGAGGCAGCAGUGGGGAAUAUUGCACAAUGGGCGGAAGCCUGAUGCAGCAACGCCGCGUGCGGGAUGACGGCCUUCGGGUUGUAAACCGCUUUCGCCUGUGACGAAGCGUGAGUGACGGUAAUGGGUAAAGAAGCACCGGCUAACUACGUGCCAGCAGCCGCGGUGAUACGUAGGGUGCGAGCGUUGUCCGGAUUUAUUGGGCGUAAAGGGCUCGUAGGUGGUUGAUCGCGUCGGAAGUGUAAUCUUGGGGCUUAACCCUGAGCGUGCUUUCGAUACGGGUUGACUUGAGGAAGGUAGGGGAGAAUGGAAUUCCUGGUGGAGCGGUGGAAUGCGCAGAUAUCAGGAGGAACACCAGUGGCGAAGGCGGUUCUCUAGGCCUUUCCUGACGCUGAGGAGCGAAAGCGUGGGGAGCGAACAGGCUUAGAUACCCUGGUAGUCCACGCUGUAAACGGUGGGUACUAGGUGUGGGGUCCAUUCCACGGGUUCCGUGCCGUAGCUAACGCUUUAAGUACCCCGCCUGGGGAGUACGGCCGCAAGGCUAAAACUCAAAGGAAUUGACGGGGCCCCGCACAAGCGGCGGAGCAUGCGGAUUAAUUCGAUGCAACGCGUAGAACCUUACCUGGGUUUGACAUGGAUCGGGAGUGCUCAGAGAUGGGUGUGCCUCUUUUGGGGUCGGUUCACAGGUGGUGCAUGGCUGUCGUCAGCUCGUGUCGUGAGAUGUUGGGUUAAGUCCCGCAACGAGCGCAACCCUUGUUCACUGUUGCCAGCACGUUAUGGUGGGGACUCAGUGGAGACCGCCGGGGUCAACUCGGAGGAAGGUGGGGAUGACGUCAAGUCAUCAUGCCCCUUAUGUCCAGGGCUUCACGCAUGCUACAAUGGCUGGUACAGAGAGUGGCGAGCCUGUGAGGGUGAGCGAAUCUCGGAAAGCCGGUCUCAGUUCGGAUUGGGGUCUGCAACUCGACCUCAUGAAGUCGGAGUCGCUAGUAAUCGCAGAUCAGCAACGCUGCGGUGAAUACGUUCCCGGG